GGAACCUGAAGGUGGAUAGGGAAGGGAGUAACGAAUGAUAGAGUCUUUUCUAUGAGGACGAGGAAGGCCAGUGCCAACACCUGAAGUGAAGAGGCCUCCUAAUGCUUUCUAGGAUCUGGAAGAAGUUCAGUGUGAGGACGAGUGUUAGGAAAUAAGGCUGAAGACAGAGGCAACCCUGGAGGAUCUUCUAACCCAUGUCAAGCAGUUGAGAAUUUAUGGAGUGAAAUAGCAAGCCAUUGAAGAGUUUCAAGCUUUCAUCCAGCUUUUAAGGGAAACUAAUAUCUCAUGAAAUUGUGAGGGCCUGGAAUCUUCAAAGAGCCAAGGAUUCUGCCAGACUGAGCAAUAGACUUGAUGAGCAUUCUCCACUUAAGAUCUGAACUAUGAGAAGUCGAAUCAAAGCAGUUCUUUUGUAAUUCCAAACAGCCAUUUAGACAUAUGAAGAAAUGAAAGUAAAGCAGUUCUAAAGACAAGGAAGAGGGUCAAUGAAAGGUGCUCCCAAUGCAAUCACAAAGAUCUUUAAAAGUGGAAGAAGGUGGGAGAGGUCAGAGUGAUACGAAGAGAACUCAGUCUACCACUGCUGGCUUUGAAGAUGGAAGAAUGGGGCUAUGAGCCCUGGAUUGCGGGCAGCCUGCAGAAGCUGGGGCAGAGAUUCCACACAGGCACCUCUAGAAAAUAAUGCAGCCAGCCAAUCCUUAGACUUUAUCCCAGUGAGAGUCAAGUUGGACUUCUG
rnacentral:lncRNA from 10 species